UAUACCCACUGGAGAGUAAUUAUGUUUGUCACAGUUAAGUUUGUAUGUUUUAUUUCGACCUCAAAGAACUUGGAACAUGAGGAGUCUUUCAAGAAGAGACUACCUGCGAUGUUUUCGACUCCCGUGGACAAUUUUAACCAAAGGAACUACAGAUAUGUUGCCGGCCUUUAAGAAAGUACGCUCGCCUUUGAAGGACUCGAAGUAGCGGUAUAGUUGAAGACAAACCAUUCCAUAACACGGCUUCUAAAUAAACAAACAUGGAUACUGAGAAGUUAAUAAUAGUUGGAACGACCUCCAAGCCUGACGACCACUCCACAAAACAUAUAAACAAAGUUCAUAAUAAACAGGAUUCUUAUCACGAUUGGGUUUUUAAAGAUCUCGAUAUAUCGAUGCAGUUGCAAGAGUCAUGGCCGUGGGAUGGACCCCAGUCCCGUUUAAUAACUUUAUC